rnacentral:rRNA from 1 species
AGCGAACGUUAGCGGCGGGCCUAACACAUGCAAGUCGCACGAGAAUUCGGCUUCGGCCGAUAGUAAAGUGGCGGACGGGUGAGUAACACGUGAGUAAUCUGCCCUUCAGUGGGGGAUAACAGUCCGAAAGGAUUGCUAAUACCGCAUUCGUCAGCCGGACCUCUGGGUCUGGUUGGGAAAGCAGGCCUCUUCAUGAAAGCUUGCGCUGGAGGAUGAGCUCGCGGCCCAUCAGCUAGUUGGUAGGGCAAUGGCCUACCAAGGCUAAGACGGGUAGCUGGUCUGAGAGGAUGAUCAGCCACACUGGGACUGAGACACGGCCCAGACUCCUACGGGAGGCAG